UCCUUUUUCCUAUGCAUAUACCUCUUUGAGAUGUAACUUUAAAGAGGCAUAGGGCAUGGGAAAAUGGGG
rnacentral:miRNA from 1 species